GCCCAGGUGGUGAAAUUGGUAGACACGCAGGACUUAAAAUCCUGUGGACAGUAAUGUUCGUGCGGGUUCAAGUCCCGCCCCGGGUA
rnacentral:tRNA from 1 species